CAAACUUCCGCCCUUCGUUAUUUUGAAGGAGCCGAGCGGCAGGAUUUCAACGAAAGCUUUCACGAAAAUCCGUGUACCAGUGAACGUCCAUGUGACAGCAUCAAAGAACGGGCGGAGGACAUCCGAAAAAAUCCAGAAGUGGCUGUCACAGGUGUGGGGUCCAAACACCGGACAUUAGGCGGUUGUUGGUAUGAGACCAUGCUCCUAUUCACGAAUCGCAGGCAGGAAAGAAUGCCGUGAAGGAGCGAGAUAGACAUUGCAUAUGUGCCGGCUGAAUGCACCUAUUGCAGCCAGCCAACGUGUACUGGAACCGGUUCUUCAAAGCCAGCCUUCGAAGGAUCUGAGAGGAAUUCAUGCACAGAGCAGAAAGAACUCCGAAAGGAAAUAUACGGGAACUGUCGCGUCAGGACAUACUGAAUUUUGUGGACGCAGCAUGGAUGCUGUACCAGAGGCGAGCAUUAUUCAGAGUUUCAAGAACUGCAAAACAUUGAAUGCACUGGACGAAUCUGAGCAGGGCCUUCUACACAGCUGGUUGUCUGGCGUUGGCCACAUUCGUCCACAACGUCCCGAGGAACUGUUGGCUGCUACAGUCUGUUGUUUGACACCGACUCUGACGGGUCCUUCGAUGGAUUUGAAAGUGAAUACCCAAUAAAGGUUUUGUUCACUCUGUA